rnacentral:rRNA from 1 species
CCUUUUGUAUAAUGGGUCAGCGACUUAUAUUCUGUAGCAAGGUUAACCGAAUAGGGGAGCCGAAGGGAAACCGAGUCUUAACUGGGCGUUAAGUUGCAGGGUAUAGACCCGAAACCCGGUGAUCUAGCCAUGGGCAGGUUGAAGGUUGGGUAACACUAACUGGAGGACCGAACCGACUAAUGUUGAAAAAUUAGCGGAUGACUUGUGGCUGGGGGUGAAAGGCCAAUCAAACCGGGAGAUAGCUGGUUCUCCCCGAAAGCUAUUUAGGUAGCGCCUCGUGAAUUCAUCUCCGGGGGUAGAGCACUGUUUCGGCAAGGGGGUCAUCCCGACUUACCAACCCGAUGCAAACUGCGAAUACCGGAGAAUGUUAUCACGGGAGACACACGGCGGGUGCUAACGUCCGUCGUGAAGAGGGAAACAACCCAGACCGCCAGCUAAGGUCCCAAAGUCAUGGUUAAGUGGGAAACGAUGUGGGAAGGCCCAGACAGCCAGGAUGUUGGCUUAGAAGCAGCCAUCAUUUAAAGAAAGCGUAAUAGCUCACUGGUCGAGUCGGCCUGCGCGGAAGAUGUAACGGGGCUAAACCAUGCACCGAAGCUGCGGCAGCGACGCUGAUGCGUUGUUGGGUAGGGGAGCGUUCUGUAAGCCUGCGAAGGUGUGCUGUGAGGCAUGCUGGAGGUAUCAGAAGUGCGAAUGCUGACAUAAGUAACGAUAAAGCGGGUGAAAAGCCCGCUCGCCGGAAGACCAAGGGUUCCUGUCCAACGUUAA